GAUCUGACGGACACAAGUUUUAUUCUUUAUUUUUAUUUUUCUCUUCUCUUCUCUUCGUCUCUUUCCUCCUCUUUUUCUCUUUCUCGCCUCAGCCGCCAUAGAUAAUCAGUAAGGCUUCUCUUCUACUUCCUCCUAAUGAGUCUCCCUCCUUAUAGACAUAGUGUAGCUUCGUCUUCCUCCUCGUCUUGUACCCUUUUUAGAAGGGAAAUUUCUUUGGAGAUAAGGGAGGAGUUCUUCAUGUCGUUGCCAAUUGCUCUUGAAGAUACCCAAGUCUCAGUUCCAGCGAAAUUGAAAUCGAACUCUUCAUGUCGUCGCCAAUUGCUGCUUCAAGAUCUGAUAGAGGAAAUCUGCAACGAGCGAGAUGGAGACGCGGGCUCUUUUCUUCCAUCACGGCGAACAUUGCAAGUGGAGAUCUACAGCAACCGAGCGAGAUGAAGAUACACAUUGCUGUUCGUAUAUGGCUACUUUGGUAAAGGAGGAAGCUUGAUGACUGAAGAAGAAGAAGUUCAAGAGUUGCGUUGUGUUUUUUUUUUUUUUUUUUUUCGAUAUGGGCUCAUAGGCCUAUUGGGUAUAUAAGAAUAGCAGUUUCGGUAGUAGGAUUGUUUUGUAUCAUGAUUAUUUUUUUAAUUAACAUAGUUAUUUGUUUCCUGAAAGAUAAUGAAAAUGAUUUAAUAUAAAUAAAAUUGGAUAAAACAA